rnacentral:piRNA from 1 species
UGGCAAUAGACUUGAAACUCUGGCAAGC